AUUGAACGCUGGCGGCAGGCCUAACACAUGCAAGUCGAACGAGUGGCGGACGGGUGAGUAAUGUCUGGGAAACUGCCCGAUGGAGGGGGAUAACUACUGGAAACGGUAGCUAAUACCGCAUACCAUCGGAUGUGCCCAGAUGGGAUUAGCGAGUGGGUGGGGUAAGGGCUCACCUAGGCGACGAGCCCUAGCUGGGCUGAGAGGAUGACCAGCCACACUGGAACGGAGACACGGUCCAGCUGCCUACGGGAGGCAGCAGUGGGGAAUAUUGCACAAUGGGCGCAAGCCUGAUGCAGCCAUGCCGCGUGUAUGAAGAAGGCCUUCGGGUUGUAAAGUACUUUCAGCGAGGAGGCGUUACUCGCAGAAGAAGCACCGGCUAACUCCGUGCCAGCAGCCGCGGUAAUUC
rnacentral:rRNA from 1 species